rnacentral:lncRNA from 1 species
UCAAACAUGUGAGAGGCGGUGCGCGCGCACACAUUUAUUAGAUAGCAAAGCAAAAGAGCCAGCGACAAAAGUUUAGAAUCCUGAAAUUAAAACAUGAAGCUCGUAGAUAAUAGCCUCGAUAGCUAACAUGAAGCUGAGAACAAGUGCAGGCGACAAGAUUACAACAACUUGAAAAGAGAAUACGGAGAAAUCCUGAAAAUUCAAAAGACAAACUAAAACAAGCUUCAGUUUUCAUUGUUUCCAUCCAGUGCUGUUCACCCUAAAACCUG